ensembl:lncRNA novel transcript
AUCUUUUGAGAGAAGGUGGACAAUGAAUUUCAUUUAUUGUUAUUGCUGUCAUAACGAUGAGCACUUCACAACAGCUGUCACCACCAGAUGCAGCAGCAAUUGCAUGGAAUCAUAACUUAAAAAAUUAACAACCAGAUUUCUGAAGUUAGAGUUCUUAGUUUCAAAUCUUGUCUGCAUCAAAAUUGCUCUGUGACUUUGGGAAAGUUUAACCACUGAUUUCUACCUUGAAGAAAAAAAUGAGUAUAAUAAUAUCUAUCUCGUAAAAUGGUGGUGAAGAUCACAUGGGAUAAUGCAAAUGAAGUUUGUAUCUUAUUGCCUGAUACAUAAAGUAUAUUCAAUAAAUAUUUGCCAUUAUGAUUACCAUUAUAAUUAUACAAUUUAGAAAACUCACAACAAAUCCCACUGCUGAAUAACUGAAACAGUCAUUAUUUCAUGUAAAAAUUAUUGCCCACGGAAGGUCCUAUCUUCUUCAUUGUCCAAAGAAUAUAUUACAUUAAAUAUGGCUUUCAUUGUAAUUAUUAAAAAUAGUUUAUAUUUAUUCAUAUCUAGGUUUUCAUCAAAGUUAUGCAUACUACUGAAUACUACACUGAAAGAACCACUAAGUACUACAAGACUUAUUACAUAGAACAGGAGUCAUCUAUCCACUUUUCCUCCUAAUUUCACAAUCUCUAGAGGGAACAGUUUUCAACUACACACAGUCCUCACAUAGUGUGACAGUGCCUGACCAUAAGAGUGACUGUGAAAUGGGACAUUGUAUAAGCUAUCUUAAUAACCAAUAGAAAAUGAUGAUGGUUCUGUGACCUUUAAAAAUGUUUGUCAAAACAUUAAAGACUUUUAUCAUCAGUGAUAAAUAUAUAAGAAAAUUAGAAAAGAAAAAUAGUGAAGCUAAUAUUUUAUUACAUAUUGUGAUUUAACAUUUAUUUCUUCGUAAAAACUCAAGAGUAGUUGGACAGAUGAUAAGGAGUGAGCAUUUUCUAUGCCUUUAUAAAUUGUCAUAAUCCUUUCUCAAACUGGGUGAGCUUCAAAUAUUUCACCUUUUGCAUUUUCAAUAUCAUGAACUAUCUCAAAAGGAUCCAUCAAUGUAAAGUUUUUAUUGGCAUCACUUCCUUUGGGAGUCUUCAUCCUUUUGUCAUAAGUGCUUUUCUCAUAUAUGUCAAUAAAAUUCUCCACUAAAUUUUUC